UUUUUACCCAGUUUUCCUACAAUCUACUUCUCUCCAGCCAACAAGAAGCUAAAUCCAAAGAAAUAUGAAGGUGGCCGUGAAUUAAAUGAUUUUAUUAGCUAUCUACAACGAGAGGCUACAAACCCCCCUGUAAUUCAAGAAGAAAAACCCAAGAAGAAGAAGAAGGCACAGGAAGAUCUCUAAAGCAGCGCCAAACAGGCCACUUUGUAAAAGGACUUUUCCAGCAGAGAUGGGAGAACCAUUGGGAGAACUGAGACCCAUAUGGGAUUAUUACUCUCAGGGCUGAGAGGACAGAAUGGAUAUAAUCUGAAUCCUGUUAAAUUUUCUCUAAACUGUU